rnacentral:rRNA from 1 species
GACGAACGCUGGCGGCGUGCUUAACACAUGCCAGUCGAACGGAAAGGCCCUGCUUGCAGGGUGCUCGAGUGGCGAACGGGUGAGUAACAUGUGGGUGAUCUGCCCCUUACUUUGGGAUAAGCCUGGGAAACUGGGUCUAAUACUGGAUAGGACCAUGCUGUAGGUGGUGUGGUGGAAAGAUUUUUUCGGUAAGGGAUGAGCUCGCGGCCUAUCAGCUUGUUGGUGGGGUAAUGGCCUACCAAGGCGUCGACGGGUAGCCGGCCUGAGAGGGUGGACGGCCACAUUGGGACUGAGAUACGGCCCAGACUCCUACGGGAGGCAGCAGUGGGGAAUAUUGCACAAUGGGCGCAAGCCUGAUGCAGCGACGCCGCGUGGGGGAUGACGGCCUUCGGGUUGUAAACUCCUUUCAGCCAUGACGAAGCCUCUUUUGGGGUGACGGUAGUGGUAGAAGAAGCACCGGCUAACUACGUG